GGAGUUUGGGCCGUGUCUCAGUCCCAAUGUGGCCGGUCACCCUCUCAGGUCGGCUACGGAUCACAACCUUGGUAGGCCAUUACCCCACCAACUAGUUAAUCCGGCGCGGGCCCAUCCUGUACCGAUAAAUCUUUCCGCCCUAAGCCAUGCGGCUUCGUGCGCAUAUGCGGCAUUAACAGCCGUUUCCAACUGUUAUUCCCCAGUACAGGGCAGGUUACCCACGUGUUACUCACCCAUCCGCCGCUAAGAUAAGAAUCGCUAGGCUUCAACUUAUCUCCGCUCGACUUGCAUGUGUUAGGCACGCCGCCAGCGUUCAUC
rnacentral:rRNA from 1 species